rnacentral:rRNA from 1 species
UACGUAGGGGGCUAGCGUUGUCCGGAUUUAUUGGGCGUAAAGAGCGUGUAGGCGGCCAGAUAGGUCCGUUGUGAAAACUGGAGGCUUAACCUCCAGCUGUCGAUGGAAACCAUUUGGCUAGAGUCCGGAAGAGGAGAGUGGAAUUCCUGGUGUAGCGGUGAAAUGCGCAGAUAUCAGGAAGAACACCCGUGGCGAAGGCGGCUCUCUGGGACGGUACUGACGCUGAGACACGAAAGCGUGGGGAGCGAACAGG